CUCUCUCUCUCCUCCUUGGCCCAAGCCGGCCCAGUCAAGCCGAGCCGCCCGCGCGCGCUCGCUGCCGCUGACAAGUGGGGCCCACCUGUCAGGCCUGUCGUCUACCUCCGGCCGGCCGCCGCCCGAACCCUAGCGCCGCGCCGCCGUUGUCUCUUUCCAAAUUCGGCUGCCCCUUUCCUUUUCCGGUGAAAUCAAUAGAGGGGAAAUGAUCUUCGGGAUCUCUUCUACCUUUUCUCUUUUGGAAUCGUCGGCUAAAAUCGUUUGGAAAUCCGUGGAUUCGAUCUCGAAUCGGAUUCGUCUCUCUCCCCGAACCCUAGACCUUCCUUCGCCGUCGCCGGUCGCCGUGGGCCUUCGCCGCCGCCUCCUUGCCCCUAUAAAAGGACCCCCAAGCCCGCCGCUACCUGCCGCCACCCUCGCCUUCGUCUCUCGUCGCCGGUAGAACCCUAGCACCGUGUAGCCUCGCGCCGCCGUCGUUGCCGCUGCUCCAGCCGUGCGCCGCCAUCGCUCCAGUCGUCGCCGUUGCUCGGGAAGGCCGCCGUCGUGGUCGCCGUCGCGUUGUCGUCCUCGUCCGCCCCUCCAUCAUUGCUGUAUACCGCCGGAGCACCGCCGUCGUCGUCAAGCCGAAGUUUGCCGCCGCUUCUUCCUCGACGCCGUCGCCGUCUGUUGAUCUUCCGCCGCCGUUUUGGUCACCGGUGAGUUCGCCGCGUCGUUCUCUACGUGCUGGUGCCCUCCGUUCGCGUCGUCGCGCCGUCGUUCGCCGGCGAGCUUGUGCGCCCGAGCCGCCGCCGGUGGUGACGUCACCGCUGACGUCAUCGUUGCCGUCCGUCGUGGUCCGGCCGUGGACCGGUCGAUCUCGGCCGUUCGUUUUGGUUAGGAUCGAUCUCGGCCGUUCGUUUCCGUGAGCCGCCGCCGUGCACCCGGUCCACCGCAAACCCUAGCCGCUGACGCAAUAAACCCCUUUUUCCUUUUCAAAAAUAAUUCAUUAUUGCGCCAUAAUUCAAUUAAAACCCAUAUAAGUGUUUUAAUCUGAUUUAAUCUUUAAAAAUUCAUAACUAAUUCAUCUUAGCUCGGAUUUAGUUGGUUCAAGUCUCUAAAUUUUUCUAAAAUUGAGAUCUACAUGUUAAAAAUAUCCACAUGUAUUGUUCAUGCUUGUUUAUGUGCUGUUUUGGUGUUUUUGCUCUUUUCUGUUUAGAUUCCGACAUUUCCGAAGAGUUCGUUUUCGCAGGAGAAGAAUUUGAAGAGUUCCAAGGGCAGCAAGGAAAGUCACACAGAUCCCAAACAACCCUUUGAGCAUGUUGAUCCCGUUUAAAGCUAUUGUUUCUAUUCAACUAUUGCAUUUAUUUUCGAAUGUCAUUGGGUGGAAUUAACCUAUUGUUUGUUAUACCCCUUUUGUUCUUGAUUACUUUAUUCCUUGAUACCUUGGGUUAUUAUAACUUGACUAGUUGGGCUUUAUAUAUUGGUUCAGCUAGAUAUUAGAUAUGAUUGCUUAGCCAUGCUUAGAAACAUUAGCACACUAUUGGGAUAACUUAUGACUCACUAUUAUUUAAUGAUGGCUUAAUGAUAGUUCACGAUGGUCAAUCGUGAUUGGUUAAUUAAUUACUUGCCAACUAAAACUUGAUAAUGGUGGGUUGUGAGCACAUGGUUUUGAGAGUCGUGCUCAUGACAAUUAAGGACCGGUUCACGAGUUUCAGUUGUGAAACAUUAACCGUGCCAACCACAAGCCAGCGUGGGCAACGGCUUUACCUUUUGUAUAGCAUGGUUCAUUGCGGAGCACCAGACUGAGAAGUGGUGGAGAUAAUCCCACGGGGGUCGCUGGGGAGUCCAUGCCUUGUUUAUAAGGGGGUGAUUAUGAUCUAGGAAUGGUGCACUGUGGUGGAUUGUGUUGUGCGAGGGGUACUGUCACAGCUCCUUUCCGAGGUACCGUGGUGGUAUUGAGGCACAUGGUGACAUGUUGUGGGGCUGUGUCUUGUGGGUACAGUGGUACACCUCUGGCCAGAGUAAAACUAUUCGAAUAGCCGUGCCCGCGGUUAUGGGCGGGUCUAACAAUGUCUUUCGUGAUUAGUCUCACACUUCUCACCAUAAUAAAAGAUGCUAUAACUGGUAAUAAUUUGAUUAGCUCCUGGUUUGGAAUGGUAUAUUCCUGGUUUGGAGAUAGAACUGUGCAGCCAGGAUUGGUUGUACAGAAUGGUUGGGCCUAUGCAACAGGGUAUGUUGUAUAGCGUUGGAUUAAUAUUGCUUAAAUUACUACUUAACUAUUUUAUUAAAUUCUGAAAUGUUUAUUAAAUGUUGUUUAUGCAAAUGAAACCCUACUAUGCCAUCCUUUGUUACCCUGUGCACUUGCAUAUUUGCUGCGUGGCUUGCUGAGUAUGUCAUAUACUCACCUUGCAAUCAUUCAUCAGAGGAGGAGUUCUACAGUGAUGCUGAUGGUGUGGAGGAUUAGGUAUAGCCCUGGUCAAGCUGCCUGUGGAGUGGAGUCGUCUGCGCCGUUUAUCUUAUUUUUCCGCUGCUUAGAUCUUUAUUGAUUGAGAGGAACUAUCUACCUCUGUAAUGACAUUUUAUUCGCUUAUUAAUUAGAGUAAUAAUUGUACUCUAUUAUCAAUUUGUUAUUGUGUGCCUCGGCUGAUUCCUGGACGAGGGUUCACACACAUGUAAGCGUUUGGAAUUUUGGAUAAAAAUUCCGGGCGUGACAGCACUUGGGUGGCCCGGGGAGCUAGCCGGGCGGCGACGGUGGCAACCAUCCGGAUCCGCGCCCGCCCGGAUACUAUGCCAACGGCGGGGAGGCAGUUGGCGGCGGGGCGGAGUGGUGGCGGUGUGUGGUGGCGGCGGACAGGGCUGGCGGCGGUGGAAACCCGCUCAGAUCCGCGCCGUUUUGGCCGGAACUGGCGGGGCUGACGCCGGGCGACGGCGUGCGGCGGAGAAGCGGGCGUGCUGGUGGCGGGGAAGAGGCGGUCGCGGCGACGGUUGCGCGGGCGGCGCAGCUGGCCGCAGGUGAGGCCGGGCGCGGGCGGCGUGGUCGAGCGCGUCGGUAGGCGGCGGUUGAAGCGAGGCGAUGGAUGGGAGGCCGCUUCCCGGGCACCGCUGAGGAUGGCGAUGGCGGGCAGAGGCGGAUCUGGCCCCCCCGAGGGCGGAUCCGGUGUGGGGCAAGCUCGCGGUGGUGGCGGCACUGCGGAGCUCGCGGCGACAUCGGCGGCGGCAAUGGCGCGGGAGCACGGGGCAACGGUGACGGUGGCAACGGCGUGGAGUUCAUAGCGACGGUGGCAGCAGCAACUUGGUCGGCGGCGGCAGCACGAUGGCUGGUCGACAGCAUUGGCGGCUGUGGAGGAUUAGGUGUAGCCCUGGUCAAGCUGCCUGUGGAGUGGAGUCGUCUGCGCCGUUUAUCUUAUUUUUCCGCUGCUUAGAUCUUUAUUGAUUGAGAGGAACUAUCUACCUCUGUAAUGACAUUUUAUUCGCUUAUUAAUUAGAGUAAUAAUUGUACUCUAUUAUCAAUUUGUUAUUGUGUGCCUCGGCUGAUUCCUGGACGAGGGUUCACACACAUGUAAGCGUUUGGAAUUUUGGAUAGAAAUUCCGGGCGUGACAGCACUUGGGUGGCCCGGGUUACUAGCCGGGCGGCGACGGUGGCAACCAUCCGGAUCCGCGCCCGCCCGGAUACUAUGCCAACGGCGGGGAGGCAGUUGGCGGCGGGGCGGAGUGGUGGCGGUGUGUGGUGGCGGCGGACAGGGCUGGCGGCGGUGGAAACCCGCUCAGAUCCGCGCCGUUUUGGCCGGAACUGGCGGGGCUGACGCCGGGCGACGGCGUGCGGCGGAGAAGCGGGCGUGCUGGUGGCGGGGAAGAGGCGGUCGCGGCGACGGUUGCGCGGGCGGCGCAGCUGGCCGCAGGUGAGGCCGGGCGCGGGCGGCGUGGUCGAGCGCGUCGGUAGGCGGCGGUUGAAGCGAGGCGAUGGAUGGGAGGCCGCUUCCCGGGCACCGCUGAGGAUGACGAUGGCGGGCAGAGGCGGAUCUGGCCCCCCCGAGGGCGGAUCCGGUGUGGGGCAAGCUCGCGGUGGUGGCGGCACUGCGGAGCUCGCGGCGACAUCGGCGGCGGCAAUGGCGCGGGAGCACGGGGCAACGGUGACGGUGGCAACGGCGUGGAGUUCAUAGCGACGGUGGCAGCAGCAACUUGGUCGGCGGCGGCAGCACGAUGGCUGGUCGACAGCAUUGGCGGCUGUCGGCUGCGGUGGCUUUGGGGUUCUCGCGGCAGAGGCAGUGGCGCGGAGCUCGUGGCGACAGUUGCGGUAGCGGCUGGACGACGGCGAUGGGGCUGCGGCUGGCCGGCGGCGAGGUGGUCGUUGGCAGCAGUGGCUGCGGUGGUGGUGGGAGGUGGCAUGGUGGCCUCGGUGGGCUAGCCGAGGGCAUGGCAGACGGCUGCAUUUCGCCGGCGCGGGAGAGUACGGUGGAGGGGACGGAGACCGGCUUGGUGCAGAGAGGCGCAGCCGAUGGCAGCGAAGGCUGGCUCGGCGCGAGAGGCGCGGGCGGCGGAGAUGGAGGCCGGCUUGGCGCGAGAGGCACGGCCGAUGGAGGGAGGCCGAAUUGGCGCGAGAGGUGCGUCCGGUGGAGGAGGCCGAUUUGGCGUGAGAGGCGCGGCCGGCGGUGGAGGAGGCGACCCUGGUGCAUGGAGGAGCUGCUGGUGGGUGUGGCACGGUCUUCGGCAUACAAAGGCUGGUCGACGGGAGGCGCCGGUGCGGGGGUCCCACAUGUCGGCAGAGGAUGAGUGGUGGUGGAGCAUCGGUGCGUCAGCCGUGGAUUCGCAGGUGGUGAACGGCUGGUGAAAACCCAGCCCAGCCUUGGCCGGGCCGACAACGAUGGUUAAUUCCCCCUCCUGAGGGCGUUGUCAUGCUGUCUCACCCCUCAAGGGUGGUUGCCGGGCGAAAGCCCAGUCUUGGCUCCUUUGAGCCCCGCAGCGGCGCGGAGCUCGUGGCGACAGUUGCGGUAGCGGCUGGACGACGGCGAUGGGGCUGCGGCUGGCCGGCGGCGAGGUGGUCGUUGGUAGCAGUGGCUGCGGUGGUGGUGGGAGGUGGCAUGGUGGCCUCGGUGGGCUAGCCGAGGGCAUGGCAGACGGCUGCAUUUCGCCGGCGCGGGAGAGUACGGUGGAGGGGACGGAGACCGGCUUGGUGCAGAGAGGCACAACCGAUGGCAGCGAAGGCUGGCUCGGCGCGAGAGGCGCGGGCGGCGGAGAUGGAGGCCGGCUUGGCGCGAGAGGCACGGCCGAUGGAGGGAGGCCGAAUUGGCGCGAGAGGUGCGUCCGGUGGAGGAGGCCGAUUUGGCGUGAGAGGCGCGGCCGGCGGUGGAGGAGGCGACCCUGGUGCGUGGAGGAGCUGCUGGUGGGUGUGGCACGGUCUUCGGCAUACAAAGGCUGGUCGACGGGAGGCGCCGGUGCGGGGGUCCCACAUGUCGGCAGAGGAUGAGUGGUGGUGGAGCAUCGGUGCGUCAGCCGUGGAUUCGCAGGUGGUGAACGGCUGGUGAAAACCCAGCCCAGCCUUGGCCGGGCCGACAACGAUGGUUAAUUCCCCCUCCUGAGGGCGUUGUCAUGCUGUCUCACCCCUCAAGGGUGGUUGCCGGGCGAAAGCCCAGUCUUGGCUCCUUUGAGCCCCAACGGACGGCGGCGGCGGUUUUCCGUUGCUCCUCUUCUUGGAGACGUCGUUUUGGCAUCCCCUAGCGUAGUGCGAUCUCGUCUUUGUUCCUUUGUUGAUCUAGCGGCGACCGGUCACGCUCAGCAGCGGCCGGUCCGGUGCUAGCCUCCUCCUGGUCGUGUGUGUUGGCGCUGUCGGUGUGUGGGGGUUGUAUAUUUUUUCCUUUUUCCGUGUUAUGACCCUCUAGGGUUGUAAUCUUGUAAUUUGUUCCUACUCUAUCAAUAGAACUUCGCACCAUCUCGUGUGAGUCGUUAAAAAAAAAGAUUGCAGCGAGAAAUAAUGAGGUCGAUUGACCCAAUGCAAUCAGGAUUCAUCAGAUACAGAUCAAUCAUUGAAAACUUCAUCCUUGCCUCAGAAAUGGUACAAGCAGCCCUCAAGAAUAGGAAGCCGAUGUUAGUCCUCAAACUUGACUUCCACAAAGCUUUCGAUAUUGUAAGCUGGGAAGCCCUGUUUCGGAUCCUUAAAGUAGGAGGAUUCCCAGACAAAUGGAUUAGUUGGACAAAAUCAAUCGUCUGUACAGGUAAAGCUCAGAUAGUCAUCAACGGGCAAAAGGGUGAUCAAAUACAGUAUAAAAGGGGGGGUCCGACAAGGGGACCCCCUCUUGCCCUAUCUCUUCAUUUUGGUUACUGACGUGCUUCAAAAUAUGAUUCAGCAGGCCUUUAACACAGGAACCCUACAACACCCGCUAGACAUCGAAGGUGCUCCACCUACCUUGCAAUAUGCAGAUGACACCCUGAUCCUACUAAAGGGUGAAGCAGACCAAGCUACAGCUCUUAAAGAAAUUCUGGACUCCUUUACAAGAUUUUCAGGUCUGCAAAUAAAUUUUCAUAAGAGCACUCUUGUCCCCAUACACCUGAAUGAAGAAAACAAAGAUGCAGUGACACAAAUCCUACAAUGCCAGACCAUCUUGGACUGCCCCUGUCAACCACCAAAAUUUCACACAAUAUGCUGUUACCUGUCAUAUCAAAGAUUGACAAAUACCUUGCAGGUUGGAUGCCACUUUCAAAAGGAGGAAGACUAACUAUGAUAAAUGCAGUAACCUCAGCAAUUCCAACUUACUACAUGUCCUGCUGCAUCUGGCCAGAAAAAUCUAUCGAGGCAAUUGACAAAAUAAGGCGUGCUUUCUUUUGGAAAGGGGAAAAAACCGUCAGAGGAGGACACUGCCUGGUAGCCUGGAAGACAGUCCUACAAAAACAGCAAGGAGGACUAGGUUUCAAAGACCUAAGAGCACACAAUACAGCAUUAAUUUUAAAGCUAGGAAACAAGGUGCUCUCAGGCACAGGGGAUCCAAUGGCUAAAUGGUUUCGAGAGAGAUAUCUGCAAUACAUUAUACAGCUGCAUCCCAGAAGCAACGAUACACCGACCUGGAAACUUAUCCUUUCACAUUUUCAGACUCUCUGCUCGAUAACACGAGUCAAGCUCGGAAAUGGCAAAACAACUUUGUUUUGGAAAGAUAAUUGGUUCCAUCAACGUCUAGAGUUUGCUUACCCAGUUUUAUUCUCCUUUGCUAUACAUAAAGAGUGCACAGUUCAGUCGCAGUUCAGACAAAGCUCCUGGCAAAUACAGCUCCACCCAAAUCUAUCCUACCAAGCAGAAACAGAACUGCACACUCUGUUACAGAUCUUACAGCAUGUCAACCCAAUCCCAGAGGAAGCAGACACAAGAGAAUUUCUUUAUCCUGCACCGCAGGUCUCAACAAAAAAUGCCUAUCAGAUGCUGACAUACCAUGGAUCCUUAUGGAAACCGGCAGACUUUAUUUGGAUUCACACCAUCCCAACAAACUGUAAGAUUUUCCUUUGGCUAGCAUUCAGAGACAGGCUAAACACCAAAGCCAAUAUGGUCAGCAAAAAAUGGAAUGAAGAUCCCCACUGCUCCCUUUGCCCGGCUCUAGAAUCAGCUGAUCACAUACUCCUAAGAUGCAAAAAUGCCAAUAAUCUAUGGGAAAAACUAAACUUACUGCAGCUGGCCAACAACUCAGAAUCAAGCUCGGCUUUCCUUCAAGCAAUCAUAGACAGCAAUCGGUCUUCAAAAGGAAUAGAACCAAUUUGGUUCGCUGCUUGCGCCUACACGCUAUGGAAAUCCCGCAACAACAGAGUGUUUGAAGGUCAGCUUGACAACCUACAGCACAUCACACAGCAAGUCUCAGACACCCUUGAUCUUUGGAGCAUGAGAACCAAUGAAUCAAACUGGCAGAAAAUUCAAUCCUGGUGUACCAGGCUCUCUUAGUAUAAGAACCAUUGUUUAUAUCUUUGUAAAUCCACCACCCCUUCUCUUUUCUUUUUAUUUUUGUUUCUUCUCUUCUUCCUUUUCUUCUUUCUUCUUUCUGUUCUAGGUUAACUAUAACCUCUAACUUGUAAGCUGGAAACCUCAUUUCUAUUAAUGAAAUGACUAUAAGGUGGAGCAUGUUGGAAAUUUGGUCAUAAUUCGGCAUAUUUUAAUCCAAAAUAACAAGAUAAUAAACAUGAUAUUUACAAUGGGAUUUGAUCCAGUGAUAGUGGUGAAUGUAAUCAACAUGAGCAUGCUUAAUGUAGAAUAAGCAUCAACAAUCACAUAAUAACACAAUGUUGACAUUGCGAUGAACAUUAACAGUAAAAAUUCUAAUUGAAAUAAUGUAAGAAGGUUAUACCCCAAGAAUGGUCCUCCGCUGGAGUUUGAGGCAGUAUUGCCUCCGUUGGUGUUGACGGGAGCCUCCUUCUCCUUGUAUCCAGUGUUGCCGUUGUCUCCGGUGUUCGACAUAUUGGUGAAGGUGAAGUAGAUGUUGACGAACAGUGAGUAGUCGCGCCUUGCGCUCCCCAAAAACCUGAUCGCCCGCCCGUCCGUGCAAAUGUCACAGCAGCGCGUGGUUUCGGAGGCCUACUCUCCCAACGCGUGUGCACACACUCGUCGGGAUGGGAUUACCGUAGCAGCAACAACGUUGGAAAAUGGAUGAAAGUGUGUCUCACUUCUCUCGCUGGAGAUCAAAUUCAUUCUCAUUUUAUAAGAGGAAUGGAAUAUGAAGAGUAAGAGUCAUGGAAUAGGAAGAGGAAUAGAGUAACUAAUUCUCAUCAAUUAGCCAUCAACCAUCCUCCACUACACAACCAUCAACCAACAAUCAAUUAGGAGUAAUUGAUGUAAGUUACCAAUGGAAUAGAAAGAAGAAUAGAGCAACUAAUUGUCAUCAACUAGCCAUGAACCAUCCUCCACUAUACAACCAUCAACCAUCCAUCAAUUAGGACUAAUUGAUAUAAGUUACCAAUUCCCUAAUCAAAUGGAUUAAUUCUCAAAACUCUUCAUCCUAUUGAUAUCCCAUAAAAGAAUAAAUACACAUGAAUUCCUAGUAUAAUGAGCCUUGGAAUUUAUUUGAUUUAAUUGAUUUAAAUGGAUCAAUUACCCAAUUAAAUCUAACAGAGCACGCUCUACCUUCUUCCGUCAAAAAACAAGACUAAUGUAAGGCCAUGUUUGAUUUAGCUUAGGAUUAUUAUAAUCUGGAUUAUUAGAAAUAAGCUGAAACAAACAUAUAUAUAUAUAUAUAUAUAUAUAUAGCUUAUUAUGAUAGAUUAUUAUAAUCUAUAAGCCAGAUUACUAUAAUCUAGUAAUCCACUCUAAAGGUGCUUUUUAAGAUUAUUGGGUGGCUAACAGCUAACAAACAGCUUAUAAUCUAAGAAAACAAACAGGUCACAACUUAUUCUAUAUCGGCUUAUUAUAAUUCAGCUUACAGUAAUCUGGCUCAAUAAUCAGAUUAUAAUAAUCUUAAGCUGAAACAGACAGGGCCUAAAUCUCAAAUAAUGAAGUGUUGGUUUCCUAUAAAAUUUGAGUACAUGAUAAUUUAACAAAAUUUAAACAAGAUUUUGGAGGUAGGCUUAGGCUCAAGCCCUAGAUGUCCUAAGCCUGCAUCCGCGCCCAGUUGUGACCGUGGUCAGCUCAGCAUUGGGACCCAACACAUACGUGAUGGCAACGUGAUGCCCGAUCUUCCGAUAGGUAUUGAGAACUCUCAAUUUGGUGGAAACUUGACAUACAUGACCCGGCUUCCGAUCAACAUGAUCUGAACCCUAUAAUUGCCACACCACGUCUUCUCUGGUUAUCAAUCAUGCUCUACCCGGUUGACCUCGGCGAGAAGGCUAAUUGUUGCAUACAAUCAAAGAACACAAACAAGAAUAAGGUAGAUUGCAACACAAUUUACAGACGAAUUUCUAAGAUCCCAAGGUUGGGGGUUCCACAAACUGAAUUAACGAUGAAACUGUAAUAACAAAAAUAAUCUAAAUAAAAUCUGACUCUAAACUAUGACGGCUAUUGAAUAAAUAUGAUUAGGGACGUCCUAGGGUUAGCCCUAGAGCAUCCACCCAUUGGACCUAGCCUAGAAAAAGUAUACAAUGACCAAUGCCUAAAUCAGACUCGGACAUAUUGAAGUACAUGACUUGUUUUGCAGAUUCCUGACAACUAAAGAGGAAUUUUCAAGAAGCACUCAUAGCCCCUGAGAUUCCUUCUAAAUCAGUGGCUAGAUCUGUUUGAAGUUGAUUCUUCCAAGAGGCCCGAAUCCUAAUCCGAAUCCAAAAUGUGCAGAAGUUCAUCUCUCGUCUUCUAUGGACCAAAAGUGACGUGAUGAUAUAGGAGUUGACUUGAGGGAGGAUAUUGGUUUGGUCCCCAAUCAACUUUUUUGAUUAUCCCUGUAUUCCUUUCGCUCGAUCGCUUUCCCUUUACCCAAGCAAGAACCUCUGCAAACAAGAAUACACUGAUAUUACAAUAUUGUUUGUUCAAAUAUAUAACACAUAAAUCUUACAUAGAAAACAUGCACUUUGGUUGAUGAAUACAUAAGGUAGCCAUGGUCAUAUCCGAGCUAGGAUGUCCUCAUCAAUACGAACAAAUCCCAGAUGUGCCUCACGAGGAAUUUCAAUGUAUAAACUUCCGUCUAUAUUUAAUAUAUACAAACUUCUGGGCAUUAGUUUUGGAUAUACAUUUUUGAUGUAUAAAACUUUCGGUGUAUAUAUAAACUUUCAUGUAUAAAUUUAUCCGAAAAUAAAUUAUACGACAUCAUCACAUGCACGCAGUUACAAAAACGGGUUGUAGAUACAUAUUCAUGUGGGCACGGUGUAUGCCUGUUCGCCUGUUUUUGUUCCAAAUACAUGUUUUGAGCUAUCUUGUCCAAUUUUUUAUUGAGAAUAUAUACACACACACUGUUUUAUCAUCUCUUGCCAAUUGUGGUGCUCCUUCAUUUGCAAAAGUACUACGUACACACCGGUUAAUAGACAUGAACUGAUGGAUGUGAUGUGUUAAUAUCACAAUGUCUCUUGGAGGAAUGGGAUUAGAUCUCUAUUAUGCAACCCCCUCCUGCUAUAGAAUAGUCUAAGAGUGAUGAUUGCAUAAUGUUUACAAAAGUAGAGACACAAGAUGUGAAGGUGAGGCAUUAUUUCAUUCAUUCUCUUCUCAUUCGCUAGUGUACAAUAGCUCCUUCUCCUCUUUAUUUAUAGGCAUAGCAAUAUAUGCUUUUCAUAUUUAGUGAGUGGGCCAUUAGUUGGUCACCUGGGCCAAGCCUUCUUGGGCCAGCGGUUUUCCAACAAUCUCCACCAUUACAUGAGAUGCAGUGAUUACACAGCUUUGAGAGUACUUAAUGGAAGAAAUUAGUUUUUCUAUCGGCGAAAAAGGUAGGGGAUCCAUCUACAUGUGUUUGAAAGGAACCCAAGACAAGGCAUGCUAGAAGCAUAUAUUUUUCAUAUGCAUGACAAAAUCUCAUGCCAAAAGAGAAUCUAAAUGGCAUCUAUUUUUAUAGUACAGAACUCUAAUGAAAUUGCUGAUGUAUCAAUUUCAUUUGAAAGCGCUAAGUAUCCCUAGGUAAAUGUGUUGGUAGGAAGUAGCAAAUGCAUCACAUAAUUAUAAAUAUAUACUUCAAAGUAGUGAAUGUGUCUCGCAACUGUAAAUAGCGGUAGCAUCUUGCAAGAUACUAGAAAAACAUCUAUGUCCAAAAGUCGGCAGCAUCAUAUAUUUAAAAAUGAUGAGAGCAGAACUAAACUUAGUGGCAACAAAGUUGAUCAGAGCAGUAACAAGAUACAGAUCGAUUAGAAUGAUUUGAUCAGAAUAUUAAUUAAGGGCAAUACCUCCUUCAGUUUUUCUAACAUGGACUAAUAGCAACAAAGGAGAAUAAUCCAACAUAAACUCUAACAACAAGGAGAGGAGAUUAUUACGGUUUUGUCUUUUUGAGAUGGUGGUAGCAGCAAGUAGGGUUUUGGACAAGCAAAGAGAGGGCACUGGCCGGAGGUAGCAUGCACUGGAUGGGCUCAGCCAGAUGAGUAGGCCAGCAGGACGUAAGAAAGAGCGGAAGAACAAACCACCGAUGAGCAUCUAGAAAUACUCCAAGCCACAAUUUAUAUAAACUGUGGUUAUAAAUUACGUUCUUUGAAAAUUCAAUUAAAACACGAUCAAGUAUUUUUAGAUCUACUAGAAAUACUCCAAGCCACAUCUAAACUUUUCUUGAACGAGUUCUAUUGUUAGAGAUUUUCCUUUAAACUUUUGAUGUUUCUAAAAUAUAUUGAAUUUUAAUUUUUAAUUUCAAAAAAUAUUAGCGUGUGGCAUAUGCCCUCCAUGGGCUGAUACACACUCGUGGUUCUAUCCUUUCUUAAUAUAAUGAAUUAACUCGAACGUAUUAAGGUUGGAGUGGAAUAGGAUAUAAGCUAACACUCACCUACCUAAACUUCUGAGGUGAGAACCAAUUAAAAUCACAUCCACAUGGGUCACUGUUGACGAUCGUUUGCGAUCAGUUUCGACCGUCCAUAUUACCAAAAUAAAGGAGAACUAGUUAUACUUGCAAUGCAUAUUUGUGUUAGAAUAAUAAUAUUCCACUAGUAUUAGGAUUACUAACCACUUACAGAUAAUGAACACAAAAUGGAUGAAUAUCGACAUCAAAUCAAACGAUCAAUCAAUUGGACGAUGUUGAGAAUCAGACUUAUGCAUGAAUGGGCCAAGAACAAGUCUGCAGAGAGGAGCAAUAGAGGAGGCCGCCAGCCGAAGUUGGGCCGGUUUGGCCCAGCCCAUGGGUCGGCCGAACCAGGGGUUCGGCCAAACCUAUCCUGGCACUGUUGGAUGCAGGGUUGUGACUGGAAGGUGUGGAUUAGCUCCCAAUGACGGUUGGAGGAUAUUUCUGACCAUUCCAGCCGUCACAAUCGUCAUUGGGAGGCUAUAUAAAGCCUUCAUCUCCUCUUUCUCCACACACUUCAAGCAAGCUCUCUCAUAUUCUCUCAAGCUUAGUUUAGUAUUCUCAAGCUAGUGGAGUAGGAAUAGAAUAGAAAUCAGAGUCCGGAAGUCUUCGGAAGAGUUCGGGUAUGGCUCUAGCAGCAUUCCUUUCUUCUUUUGUAAGACUUAUACUUUAUUUAGAAUAUUCUUCUUUAUAUAAUUCUUGUAUUGAAAUACUUUCCGCGUAUAUGAAUGCCAACUUUACUUUAUAUUCGAGUUAUAUUGAUUAUACUGCUAGCUUAUCUGGGAGAUGCAUAGAUACGGGUAUAAUGUUUGCUUAUGCAAUUACUCUAUGUCAUGGCGAUGAUAUUAGAGUAAUAUCUGGUAGUUUAGGCGUGGUGUCUAGAUUAUUGGGUAUCAUUAUUUGGGGUUAUAUGCUGCGGAAGAGAGGUGGGCCGCUGAUGGUGACAACUCAGUUCGGGUAUUCCUCCGCGCGUGUAUAUAGUCCUAAGUUAAUUUCCUGGGGAGGGUAUUCCUCCGUAUUUAGCCCCGGUUGUAUGGUCAUGACGGGCUAUGGUAAGGAACUCGGCAGUCAAGGGUGGCUUCUCAAAGUACCAGGAGGGCAUCGGAAAGAGGUAUUAGCUAGUUAAUCUUAUAACGAGGAUGUAUGUAUAGUAUGUAUACUAGAAGUAUAGGAAUAGAUUCUUUUCUAUUUUCUUUCCACUCAGCUUAGAUAGUUUAAUAUGAGAAUGAGUAGACUUAUGUUUGUGUGUCAUUGUACCCUUUGGAUUAUAUUAACCCCUGCUUAGUCUAUGAUUAUUACAAGUAACAUAUAAACUAUUAGUACGGUUCUCUCUCCUAUAAUUUUCCCACGGGAUUAAACAAAUAUGAUACCCUUGGAAUACUCUCGAGUGAAAUGCUACAAUAGUAUAUUCAUGCGCUUGCGGAUAAACUCUGUAACCAUAAUAUACCAAGUGUAUUUCUGCGCCAUUGCUGGGAAUUAUAUUUCUAGUAAUGUCGUUAAGAAAUACCAACAGUCACAACUCUCACCUACAACACUACUACAAGUUGUUAGCGGGCUUUGGUAUUACAAACGCACUAUUGAUUAGCCCCAUCAAGAUCAGAGUCAUUCUCUACCCUCAACACAUAUAUAUUCAAAUCUAAGUGUAUUUUUUUCCUAUUGUUAUUCGUGUACUCUAUGUAAUUUCAAUUGAUGGUAUCUUAUGGAAUUAACAAUGACCACUUCAAAUAUCUUGAAAAUUCAUUCAAACAUUAAAACAAUGAAUUUAAUGCCGUAUUGAUGAUAUCCAAUAUAUCAAAUCUUAUGCAUUCAAUGCUACAUUUAUGUAUGAUCUUCUCAUAUUGUUUAUUUAUUCCCUUAAAGCAUUAAAAGAAGAUUAUCAAAUCUAUUGCAUUGAAUAUAUUAAUUCUUUUAGUAGACUAACAGCUAUUUAGUAACCAUUGGAGUUCUACAGAUAAUAUAUCUUUUCCAAGUAUCAAUACCAAUCUUCCAAGAUUUUCAAAAUGAAAGAAAGUCAAGUGAUUAUCGUCACUCUUCUUCUAUUUUGUAUUGUUCUAAUCAUUAGGGGGGAAGAAAUUCAACAUAUAAACCCAAGGAGAAGUACUAAUCAAGAUCUUACAAAUCAAGAGGUUAAUAAAAUCAUCCAGGUAUGUGAAAAAAUGGAUCCUUUUAAGUAUACUUAGCAUCUUUUUUUUACCUAACAAGCAAAAGAAACGUCAAAUUAGGCUGAAGAUGGUGAUGUCUAUGAUUGCAUUGAUAUAAAUAGGCAACCAGCCUUUAACCAUCCAUUGUUAAAAGACCACAAAAUUCAGGUAAGCCAACAUUUUUCCUCCUAAGAUUUAACAUCAUGUCUAAAUGUGUUGCCACUUAGUUUUUUUUUUGGAAUGUAAUAUUCUUUCCUCUUGUUUCUUUUGGGGGGGGGGGAGGGAGGGGGUGAGUGGUCUAUAAUAUUCACUAAUAUGGCUUCUUUUUGAUAAUAUCGUUAAUUUAUUUGUUUAUAACACUUUGACCUGGCACUAUUUUUAUGUGUAUAUUUGCUCCAUCAUAAAAGAAUGUUGUAGAAACCUAAUCAUGUUUAGAGAAUUUCUUUAUAGUGAGAUAUAAACUCAUUGUUUAUAAAAUGACCAUGUUUUGCUUGUCAUUUAGUUGAAACCAAACUCAUUUCCGGUGGGGAUUGAUGUCGAAAAUCCAUUUAUGUAUCCCAUCUCAGAAGCACAACUACCCACUGCUGAAUGCCCCACAGGAACCAUCCCAAUACUAUGCAACAAUAGACAAGAAAAUAUUUCAACUAAGAAUACUGACGCAAUUGUCACCAGUCAACAACAAGAGGUAAGAAUUUUUAAAAUAUUUUUAGAUGUUUCAAUUCUCAUGAGUUGAUUGUGAUAACAUAUUGUUUUUGUAUGGAGUUGUUCUUAUGUCCAGCUCUCACAAUAGACUCACAAAACCACUAUAUUACCAUUGGUUGAUGUAACAACUAUACAAAAGAGUUAGGUGAAUCUCCAUCUUUAAGUGCUAAUAAAUGAAGGCAAUCAACACCAUUAGAUGAAAUAUGUGUUACUAAAUGACUAAAACAGUUACACAAUAGCUAAAUACUCCCUCCUACUUUGCACUGAUUUUACUCCUUCUAAUUUAUAAAUAAAAUUAUAGGUAUUAAAAAUAUGUAUGUUAUUGAAAUAGGAGUAUAUUACAUGGUAGAUAAAAACAUAUAAUUUCUGCCAUCACAUUCAAACAAUUUCAAAUAUAUCAAGUCCCAAUCAAAAUUGUCAAAUAGUAGGAAAUGGAUGGCGCCUUACUUUGAAAUAUUUGUUAGUAAGAUUAUAUUGUUGCAGUUUCACAUCCUCUUUAAAAAAACCAACUCCUUUGUGAAUGUUUUUCAACAAAAAUACCGACUUUAAAUUAUUAUAUUCCCUAAGUAUUUCAAAGUUAUACUACAGAACACUAAUGAAUUUAUAUUAGCUUUAUCCUGACUGGCAACAGUCCUCUAUGUAUUAAUAUGAUGUAAAACUUUGCAUAUGUAUGUAAGUUAUUAUUAUUCACAAAAGUCUUUUCAUUUUUUUCCUUGUAGGUAGCAGGGAUAAAAUAUUUUGACGACAUAUAUGGAACACAGGCCACAAUAAACAUUUAUGAACCAAUGGUGAAGCAUCAUUGGGAUCUUAGUGGAUCAUGGAUACAAAUUGAAAAUGGCCCAGAUGUAAUUGGUGCUGGCUCUUGGGUCUCACCAAGCUUCAGUGGUGAUAGCUUUGCUAGGUUUCAUAUUUCAUGGGUAAUACGUAUACAUUUUUUCUAGAAAUACAUUGGAUUCUACACUAUAUUUUUUUUCUAGUCUCUAUACUGCUGAGAUAGUAUAGAGCUACAUUUCCACUGCUUAGGUACUGACUUUAGAAAAAAAAAUUGGUAACAGCGUGAUGAAGUACAAAACAAGUCUUGCAACAAUCAUAAGUGUCCUGGUUUCGUCCAAGUUAGCAGUUCUGUUGUUCUUGGAGGCAGAAUACAGCCAGUUUCUGUAUAUAACGGACCGCAAUACGCAAUUAAGUUUCUUAUAUUUAAGGUAUUCUCUGUCCUACAUGCAGUUUAAUAUGCCUUGAUUAUUUACUUUAUGAGAAUAAAAAAUUUAAGUGGUUCACUAUGAUGUUAAUUGAGUUACCUAAGAUAUAUAAAAUUAAUAAAACAUUAAUUUAUUUCGCUUAUUAUGUCAUAUCUAUAUACUAUGUUCACAUAUGAUGUGUCAGUGCAUUGCUUAGAUUUAAAUUACCUGUUAGCACACACCAUUACAACAAUAUCUUAAAUCAUAAUAGGCAUUCCAUGGACUUCCAACAAUAGCAUUUCACUUUGAAUGCCUCACUGUACGAAAUGAUGUUAUAGACUUAUAGCAACAAACGUUUAUUAAGACCCCUAGAAUACAAUAAGGAAAUAAGUACCAUGCCUUGUGCAUUCAAUAGCAUAUUGCCCUUGCAGUCUUUUGAACAAUCAUUUUUUAGAUGAUUUUGAAGAAGCAUUUACUUGACAAUUUAAUCUUGAUGAAUUUUAGGACCCAAAGACUGAAAAUUGGUGGUUGGUGUAUGGUGAGGAGAAAACAGCAAUAGGAUAUUGGCCAAGUUCUCAAUUUAGUUACAUGAAGGAAAUGGCCAGUAAAGCAUUGUGGGGUGGAUAUGUUCAGGGUCCAACAGCCUCAGAAGACUCUCCACAAAUGGGCAGUGGACAUUUUGCUUCUGAAGGGUAUGGCAAAGCAGCUUUUGUUAGAGAUAUUCAGGUCGUGAACGACGACAACAUGCGUGUUAUUCCAAACCCAGUUAAAGCCGAUCCAGGAUCUACUAAUCGAAGGAAAUAUACCUAUGAAUAUUAUGGACAUAAUCCCAAUGGUAUGCAUGUUUACUAUGGUGGACCAGGUAGCUACAGCUAAUGGUGUACUCUGCAAACUAUAAUAACAUAUGUAUUUGUAUGUGAAACAAUGGGAUUCAUAGCUAUAUAUGUGCCAUCACAAUUCACACCACCGUGCAUCCACCUUCUAGUCAUAAUAUCUUCAAAUUUUUUUCCUAAAUAGUGAAGAUAAUCUUGUGUAAUGAAAAGUCUGCUAUGCAAAUUAACAAAUCACGAUAAUGCACAUAGACAACAGGUAGAGAAUCUAAUUCAGGGAAAAUAUACACAACGGCUAAUUAGAGAACAAAAAUAUGAUCAAUCAAUGGUCGACAUGUAAAAGAAUUACAGCAGAUAACGCUAUGACAAUGUGAAACUCUGUUCUUCUCGUCAUCCUAAUUGCGUACCUUCCCUGUGUGACUUACAACAACCCAGUCUCAGCUCUGAAUCAAGUUCCUUCCCUGGAGCAUCUCAUGCUCUCAUCAAUCAACUUGAAUGUCUUCUUUACAAGUUUCUGGUCUAGGGCCGUUGUUCUGUAGAUUUUGAACACGUGGUCUACACAGUCAGGCCUGCUGCUCCGGAUGUACAGCUCUUCAAAUUUCUUAACAAUCCUUUUAAACUCUGUAUGGGUAUAAAGGGCAGCCUUUACCUUUUGUAUUUUCUUCUCAAAUAUCAUAGCUGAAAUGAAUAGAAAUAUUAUAAGAAAAAGAAAGCAGACAAAGAUAAGUUCAACAAACAAAGAAUCUAUACUUACUCACUAAUGGCUGCAUAAAAGAUAAAAUUAUGAUAGAUUAACACUCUUAAAACUAUCAGAAUUUUCUGUUAGAGCCAAAAUAUAAUGAAUUUGAGAUUAAGACUUACACAUAAGUGUGUUAAUUGUGUGCAUGCGAAGCUUUUGUGCACAGAAUGUGUUCCCUCUAUUCUAGAGCAUCAAGCUUGGCCUGCCAUCGGUUGCCGAUUAUUUUUCCUAGUUUCAGUGAUGAUUUCCUUCGUGUUACCUCAAACGUGUUUCCUUAUCCCAUUAGCAGCCUAUAGUAUGUGUGUAGUUGCAGGGCUGUCCCGUCAAAUUUGGGGGGCCUGUGCAAAGUCGUAAUGAAUGAUAAAAACUUAAUUAAUGAUAUUAUAUGACAAUAAUUUAUUCUCUGUAAUAUAUUUCAUAGCAAUGUAAAAUGGUCUAAAAUUUUGCAUAAUAUUCACUUGAAAAGCGACAUAUUUCCUAUUCCGAUUUAUUGAAGACAUGCUUCAAAAUUAAAAUACAGGAUGUAAGAACAAAAAUUGAUUUUGUGUAUAUAGUAGAUGAAUCUAAAUACUUAAUAAUCGAUACACCAAAAUUAGGGAUUACCACAUUAGAAAUUACCAGGAAGUAGGAAUUAGGGUGGCACUUGUUCACCAGACACCAGGCAAGCACCUAGCAGACAGGAAGCAGGAGCUCAGCCAGUCAGCCGCUCAGGCAUUCAAGCGGUCGUGGCAUCACGUUAGGGGCGUGGUACCGACAGGCAUCUGGGACUCAGGAGUCAAGUCAUAGGCAGCGACAGCGUCAAGCGGCACGACCGCACGAGAGCAAGGGGAGAGAGACGAGGCAUCGUUUACUCCUCUUGGUGAUUGGCGAGGCCAUAGCCCAAAGGCCAAAGCGGCACGAACAUGCGAUCGAACGCAAAACGAUGUGAACAAAAAAAUAGCAGAUUUUCAGGACUAAUUGGGUUACCAAUUUACUUGUUAAACUUUAUAUCUAGUGUUGGAGUUUUGGGCCUAGGGGGCCCUGUGCAAGCGCUCUGGUCGCGCCUCCCAAGGGGCGGCCCUAUGUAGUUGAGACCUAUGUGACCCAGAUAUGAUUGUUGUUGAUGCUUUAGUUUAGGUUGAUAGUGGUUAGCUUAUAAACCUUCGACACUCCAAACAUGGAACCCUGUGUUGAACAUUUUACACGAACAAGGAUAAAAGUACAAACGGAGUGUUAUGCAUACAUUGACCACUACAUAUAGGAGCUAGGCUACGUGAGAGCUAGGCUAUUGUGAAUCUUGGAGACAUAAUUCAAAGAGCACCUAGACGCUUAGUGGGUUUUGGCUAAUUGAUGAUAAAAAAAAUAAGAGACUAAUGUGCUCAUUGAGUAUAUAAGCAGGGGAUUAGUCCGAUGAGGAAGAUGAUGAAUAAGGAGGAAUAUGUCAGUUUCCUAAAUAUGGGAUAUCAUAUGCAUGUGUGCUUAGCUCGGCUAGGAAGCAUAGACCAAAUCCUAAGCCUCAUGCAUGUAGACAAUCGACUAGGCAGCAUAGACCAAAUCCUAAGCCUCAUGCAUAUAGACAAAGUCCUAACUAGACAAGGAAGGAGUACCAAAUAAGGAAAGAAAAACAUAGUCCUAUUUAGGCUUGGCAGGACUACUCAGAUUGUAUCCAUACUUGCCUUCCUAAUUCUACUUGAACAUGGGGCCAUCCGAGGGUAUAAAAACAAAACCCUUAGGAGGGAAGGGGAGAAGCCUAAGAGAAGCCAACAAGCCAAGAGAUAUACAAAACAAUACGAGCCACUUCCAAUCCCAUUGAGUCGAUUUCCAAGGAAGUCGACAACAGCUAGCCAUUGACCACUAUACCCGUGCGCUAUGCCGAUAGACUGCCAGACUAUAUUAGGUUUUCCUCACGCGUUGUAGUCAUGAGAGAUUGAUAUAUCAUGGCAACAUUGGCCUGCGGCCAACAGGAUUACGGAUAUUACUACUCGUCACAAGGGUGACCAAAUCUGUAUAAAAAUCUAUGUCCCCUUUGCUCUAUUUAUAAGUUUUUUUGCAUCCUCAUAUCAGCUGAUCCCUACACCCUCAAAACAUACCAUAUAGGCACGGAUCUUGGGAUUAGGGUAUAACCCAUCAACAAUGGCAUGCUAGGUAGGGGAGCACCGGUAUUCAGAGGAUUCGUUGAGAGAUGGCUUCAAGAGACGGAUUUUCCGAUGAGGGAUAUUUCGACAACUUUGGAUUGACAAAGCUUCAGGAUGUCGCCACAGGAGGCUUUGACUUGGGUUGACCACUUCAUAACUGAUAUCACCGCCUCAGAGGAACAACAGUUCCACUAACUUAGGAACCGUGUCAACCAUGCAUGAGGCCUCGGCACAAUCCAACUACUCCAUUGGUUCAACCAUCGCUUGCCUAGUGUGUAUAGCUGUCCAUUUGUAAUGCCCUAGAAAAAAUAGAAUAUCGUAGAGGAUAUAUUGGAAGUCCCUAAGGUUUUGGUGUUUGAAAUUAGAAGAAAAACAAUAGUUAUAUGCUAGCUGGGCGAGCUUUCGGCCAGCCCAAGGCCCAGCUGCCCCCUCCACAUCCCCAAAACCCUAGGAGGUCCCCCCCCCACCUCCCCCUAGCCAUCAUUUGGUACCCUGGGGGCGCCCACCUCCCCCUCUGGUCGACCUUCCCCAUGCCUUCCCUAUUGCAGACCUUGGAAGAAGAAGAAGGGAAGGAGAACAAAGGGAAAGAAGGAAGCGGAGGGAAUCAAUGUGAAGAUGGAAAUGAGGGGUUUGAUUACCGCUGCCCAUGGAGGCCUAGGUACCAAUACAUGAUCUUUUUCCCCUGUUUUGGUUUUCUAUUAGGGUUUAGAUCAAGUGUUGGAAGCGAGUAAGUUUGGGAUCCACCGAUUUAUUCCUCAGCCAGGUUUUUGCUGAUAUGCCCCCUGCGCAGUUCUGUUUUGGAUGCCUUUUCGGCCAACAUAAUGGGAUUUCCUGCAAAAAGUCUCUAUACAAAAGUUGUAGAUAACGUGUAUAUCUAUCUUCUGACCAAAUGGAAUGAUUUUAUAUCAAGUGGUUUAGGAGGUAUCAAUUUCUGAAGUUGGCUGUCUGAAUGUCGAUGCAUUUAUCUGUAGUCGAGGUUCAGAGGGAUUUUAGAGGAUCUUAAUGAUGGAAUCCGAGAAUCUUGUAUUUACAGAAGUUGUAGCAUAUGUUGUGAUCUACCUCAUACAUAAAAAUUGUUAGCUUUUAUCUUGUAGUUUGUUGUCAGUGCUCUUUUGAAUGGUUGCUGCACAGUUUUCUGGGCAGAUGCACUUCUCUGUUUUGUGCCAUGUUUUAGGCCCGCUAAAUGGAAGAAUUCAGUUUUGUUAUCUAAAUAAAAGUUGUAACUCUUGUUCUGUAGAUGUCAGAAAUGAUAUAUUUUGCUAUUUUAUGUGAUGUAGAAUUGGAGGUAUCGAGUUGUUAAUAUAUGUUGCUUUUAUAGGAAGAUUAUCGGUAAUUUUCUUUAUGUUGUUUGGGGUGGGUUCCCAGCGUAGAAAGUGAAUGUGUGAUUCUUGAAUGAUUAUAUGUGUGUAGUUUGAGGCUGAGUCGGUGUUUAUUCAGGUGAUGCCACUUUGGAAUGCAACUAGAGUUCAUCUCGCCAUCGGUGAAGGCAAGUAAACGUAGCGGUGGUUUGCUACAGCUUUGAGUUGUUAUUUGAUUCUACCUCUGUUGGCGGCUGUUAAAUGCCGAUUCUAUACCGCCAGCAUCUGCAUAAAGUCGAUAUAAUAAAACAUCCAACAUAGAAAUAGGUGCUUAAUCUCACAUAUUCCAUCAGUGUUGGUGUAUAUUUGUAUGCAGAUGAUAAACCCUGAAGUUGGGAGGAAAAUCAGACUAAAGUGAGGAGAAUUAUGUAUCCAUACAAGGAGGGGUUGAGAACUUCGUUGAAACAUCGGUAAAUCAAUCCAAAACUCCGAGAAAUGGAUAGAGGAAGGUCCAGGGAGUCCACCAACCGAAGGCCAGGCCAGGAGGGCCUAGCCCAGGUUCGGCCGAACCCCCUGGUUCGGCCGAACCACCACUUCCACCGUUGCAUGUGGGGUUUGGCGUGGACGUCCCAGAUGCAUCCCUGAUGACGGUUGGAGGGCACUUCGGACAUUUCCCCUUCGCCAACCGUCAUACCUACCCCUAUAUAAGGACAUCAUCUCACUCACUUCAACACACACUUCCAAGCUUGAGCUAAAUUAUAAGAGGCUCUAUUGUACUAUAUUGUAUACUAGAAUAGGAAGAAAGUAGGUCGGAAGAAUUCCGGAGUUGUCGGUAAUCUUCUCCUAUUUCUUUUAUUCUGUUUAUUACUCUGAAUUCAAUAUAAUAUUCUUCUUGAGUAAUUUAGAUUUAUCUUGUGAGAAUUAUCUCUUGGUUAGUUCCUAAAUAGCAUACGGGAUUAUUUUUCACUAUAAUCAACUAAAAUAUAGUGAUUGCUUUGGUGAGUUAUAAACACUAAAGUAGAUAUUAAUUUCUUAGACAUGGUGUUUAGGUAAUUGUUAUCCAGUAAUUGUUGUGUAUCCCAUAGUACGUUUGAGGUAGGUGUAGAGGUGGUGACAGCCCUCGAGAUCACUUAAGUCCUCCCUGUCCAGGUACGUAGUAGAGCGACAUCUAGGAACAGCGGGUUGCCAGUGCCUGAAGUAUUGCGUUAGGAUUAAAGUUAAACUUUCCCUAGACACUGUUUCUCACUAGUGAAUCCUCUCUAUCCCGGCCUAUCAUUUGCUUGGUGUCCUUGGAUGAACCGGAGGAAGAUCUGACCACACACGUUCCCUUGGAUUCGAUACCCUUGGAAUAAUCCGUAGGGGAAGUGCUACAUCUGUAUAUCCGUGCGCUUGCGGAUUUUAUCCGUAACCGUAUUAAAUACCAACAACCUCCACGUUGAAAUUAUAUAUCAUCAACCAAGAUUAUUAUAUGUUACACCGAGGAUUUACCUAUCUAAAUCAUACUUAUUGAUUUUACACUGUUUAUGGAUAUACUUUAUGCUCUUGGUUAUAAUAACCUUAUACUGAUCUCCAUCGAAGGAAUGUGGUUCCGAUGUUAUACUCUGGAAUUCAUACUGCAUUUGCAUCACUUGCAUUGCAUUUGAAGUCAUGUCGUGAACCUAUGGUUGCGACCGUACCGGUACAGCAUCGUAUAUUGCUGUAAUACGAUGUAGCUUCACACCUAGUUGGGUGUGAAGGCAGGAGUACAUAUCAAUGCAUUGCAUAUGCACUUAUUCACCCUGUUGGGUGUGAAAGCAGGAGUACAUAUCAUUGCAUUGCAUAUGCACAUAUUGCAGGAUGUUAUGAGAAUUAUCGAUCGAAAAUAUCUUUGAGAAGUGUUUUCUUCUCUGGGAUUUGUGACUAUAUGGAUUUGAUUGGUGACGCUAUGAUGUUUUAGUCCUUGGAUAUUGAACUUUCUUUAUGUGAAUCAUAACUUGGUAUUUAAUUAGUAUAUAAUAAACAUGUGGUUUAAAUAGCUUGUUAAAGCCGUUUGCUUGCUGAGAUUUAUUCUCACCCCCUUAUAGUCUUUUCAGGUACUCGCUGUGACAUGUUUGCAUGAAGGGAUGGGAUUAGAUACACAGUCACACAACAUGAUCUCACUUAGUCAUGAGUAUUGUAUUAUGCUGAUAAGAUUUCUUGUGUUUAGACAUAAUGAGCUAAUUAAAUACUAGAGUUGUUGACCAUUGGUUAACUACUUUUCAAAGGCUAUCCCUAUAUGUCAGUCAGUUGAUGUAUCAUAAACUUAAUCUAUAUGUUGAUGCUUUCGUGAUGUUUUCUUGUCUAAGGUAGUUGUUGCCGAAAUUUGCUUGUUUUGGCACUUUUGUAUGGUUGUUUAGUGGCAUCCCAGGCUUAUGUGGUUUUCCGGGGUGUUACACCAUUAGUUUAGUAGGGAACGCCAGAACGCUGGCCUCUGCCUGUUCGUGCAACCUCCUGUGACCUUUUGGUCUCGAGCACGACACACACCCGAGGAGUGGAAAAUCUGACUUGCUGACAAAGUCAAUCUACACAUGCUUCGUUCCACAUGUCCGAUUAGGAUUGGUAUUGACCAACCGAUACACACACAUACGUGCAUGAGACAUGUCUCGUGUCCCCAUGCAAUAGCCUAUCGAUCAAACUGACCUAUGACACAAGCACAUGCUACGAGAAAAUAUUAUUCUAUAGAAAACAAUACCAUAUCACUUGGUAGAUUGAUGUCUUAAUUAAUCUACUUCGUAUGUGAGGUUCAUUGUCAUACAAGGCUACAAAUGACUGAAGGUGCAAAAUGCAAUGUAGGGUUGGCAAGACUUGGCUACGCGAUAGACCAUGUAGAGGAAAAGGGCAAGUGGAGGCUUAGCGCUGGAGGACUCGAUGAAGUGGUGAAGGAGAAAGUGCUCUAUGCAACACCAACAAACCGGUCGAGGUCAUAAGAAGUCACAAGUUGCUGAGGAUAAAUCUUCGUUGUCGAAGAAGCGUGUGAGGCAAGGCUUGGAAGGAAGAAGAUCAAGACUGCCGCAUGAAGAUCUCCCACCAUCUCAAGUGUGUUCAAGUGUAGCUAGAGUGUGGAAUUGAGAGUGAUGUGGAGUUUGUGUGCUUCAAGUUGGAGAACUUGAGGUUGUAAUUAAGAGAAGGAGAAGGAGAAACCCAAGACCAACCAAGUGGAGUGUGAUGUGCCAUGGAGAUGUUUGUGAAGGUUGAUACCUUGCCUCCGCAAGGAAAGAAGUCAUAGUGGAAGUAGUGCUACAUACUGGUGGAUGCUUGGUAGAGCAAGAUUCAUUGGAGGGAAGUUGGGUGGCAUCCAAGCUUGGGACCGAGUAGGUCGCUUGGAGCACAAGCUUGCCCUUGGUGGUUGCUUGAAGAGACCAACGAAUCAUCAGAGGUGGUAGCAUGGAAGAUAAAGAGGGUUGAAAGAGACUCGACUUUUUAGAGCCCCUCAAUAGACACGGAUCGGUUGGAUCCAAACAUCGCUGAACAAAUCGGUGCCUCCUUUUUCUCUCUUUACUUUGCACUUAUCACUUUCCUGUUAAGCUAUUUGGUAAUCUGUUGUAGCAGGCUUAUAUUUUGUUGAUCUACUCCUAGUUCUAAUUUAAAACUAGUGUACAAAGUGCUAUACCUCACCAUAAGUUACAUAUUCUCUAUAUAGGGCUCAUUAUCCCUAGCUAUCGGAUUGUCUAACAUUGUGCAUUGUCGGACUGUCCACAAUGGCACCGGAUUGUUUGGUAAGGUAUAAUUUCCUCCUAUUCACCCCUGCCCCCGGCGAGUUCUACGGUCCUCAGUGUACUUUCAAUGAUUUUAUAUAUUACGCCAACCAAGCCAUGUAUCUGGUAAGGCUUGGCAAGCUCGGCUAGGCCUUAACUAAGCUAGCCGCAACUUGGCAGUCAAUCGAGUUGCAGUAAGACCAGCUGGACGUUUGUAGGGUUGUUUGAGCCUUACAAAUCUACUCGGGCUUAGACAUGAUUGACAAACAAUGACCAGGAUGAUUGGACCUAGGUAGAUAUUGCCAAGUAUCUAGCAAGGGUUGCCAAUCUCUGAUAAGGGCUGCUAGGCCUUGGCAUGGCUUGCUAGGUUAAGACAUGACUUUCUGGGCACCAACAAGGUCAGCCAAUCCAUGGCAUGGACGAUCGAGCUUUGAUGAGGUUGGACAAUCCAUAGGAUGCUCUAUACACAGCUAGCCAGACAAAGGCAACAUUAGUAGGCCAACGGUCAAGUCGGCUAGCUGAUGGGUAAGGUCGGUCGGGCUUGGAGUGGCUGGUCGAACUAGUGGGGAGGUCCAACGGCCUUGCUGACCUAAGACACGGUCAAUCGGGCAAGGAUAUGGUUAGCAGGCCAACUUGGUGAUUGGUCAAUCUAGUCAUUGUCCGAUCGAGCAACGGCACGAUUGGCCAAAUCACGACAAGCUCAGCCAAGCUAUGACAUGGUUGUCUAGGCUGUGCAAUGAUGGGCCAGGCUGGUUAAUCCCUUGAUUUGACUCUGUAAAUAUGUGACAAAUGUUACAACAUACAGGGGCACCGACCAACGGGUUAUCUGGCCGACCGGGGCCAAACAUAAUCUUCUUUUAUUUGAUUCCAUUACAUGAUUGAAAAUACCUCUUUAUUUUAUUUGGAAGAUGAAAUAUACGAUGAAAGUAAGUUCAAAUGCGAUAAUGGAAAUAAACAAAAACAUCGGGUUACCUGCCGGAAGUGCUUGUUUUGGAUCAAUAGCUUGACCUCGGAGCAUUUCCUCUUGUAGCCAAUCUGGAGAUGGAGCUCCCUCCAUCACUUAAUUUGUUUGCUGAUAAUUCCUAGCAACAAUGCAAUAGCUUAACCUGGAGAUGGAGCCUUAAUGUUGCCAUGGCAUAAUGGUAUAGAAUGGUUAAAGCUCUCAUAAAUAUUGGCACAAAUAUUACUUGCACUUGAAGUUAUUUCUGAUAGCAUGGAUAUUUCUACACUUCGAGGAUAAAUCAUUCACAUUUGUUGUCGAAAAAUCCAUGUUACAGUGUCAAAUCUGGUGUCCUGAGAACUUCCAUAGAGUAAACACUAUCAACUUUAGGUCAUUGUCUACGGCACUCUGGGUGAACAUAUCCAUACUCGACACAAUCAUCACCACGUAUUGCACUCCAUAAUUCAUCAGAGUCGUGGUCUUGAGGCACGAUCUUCACUAAUUGAUGUACACUCCAUUCAAUGGGCAACAACUGAGCAUUUACAUACUUGGGAAAAACAUAGUAUAUAUUUGAUGGGUUCAUAAAGGAGAGGAGGUGUGUUUUUUUGUAAAAUCAUGAAGUCUGUUGGGAUCGGCUCAAAUGGUUCAUCAAAUAAGGAUUUUGGCGGUAUCGGCUUGGGAGGGGAAUUGGCUAUCUCUUGGUGGAGCUAAGGGUGUUUUGGUUAUUGAGUUUUCAUAAGGUGGUUCAGUUGUUUAAUUGACGGAUAUUCUCACCAAAAUUCCCCUUCCUUCCUCGAUGGUUCUAUGGAUAAAGGCCCCUCCAACUGCCAUAUCAAGGAAAACAACAGUAUGAGCAGUGAAUCGUCCGAAGAAAUGUUGCAUGAUCACAAACUCCGGGAGACUAAGCUUUGGACCACAAAGUUAAUUGGAAUUUUGAUGCAGUGUGGACUUGAACAACUGACAAGCAAUUCCCUAUGCUUAAGAAAUGACGGGAAAUGGUUGCAAAAGAGGACGGUACAAUGAUAAUAUUUGUGUUUUGCAACUUAUUGAAGGAACUGAACAAAAAUAUAUAUGCUAGGGUCAUAAGAUUAAUAUGCUAGAGUUUUAUUCACAGCAAUUUUAAACCAUAUGUUUCACAGGGACAUUUUUUACCUUAGUAAUGUAGACUGCGUAAUAAUGGUAGAAUAAUAGUUUCUCCUCCCUAAUAUUGAAUUUUAGCCCCUAAUAUUAUUUAAAAAGAUAAGGAUAAGCAUAUGCCCAUCUUUUAAAACUAUUUGGCAACCCCUGACUCAGUACACAUAGUUAACCAGUUGACAACCUCAGACUAAGUAGACUAAAAAUCAACAUGAAAUGGUGUCAGCACAUAUAUCUGAGAAUAUGUAAAUAAUUGUCUAUGAACAUGGACAGCACACCUUUGUUGGCACAUAAUCUGCUUCAGCUAAUCGAUCCAAAUUUUCCAUGAAGUAUUGUGCACAAUCAGGAAGUUGCAGAAUACUUCCACGUAAGUAAGUUUCCUACAAUAUAGAGCAUUGCUUCAGCACACCUGGCCAGGAAAACUAUAUAACUUCAAAAGAUUUGAAUGGCUAUUUGUUUUCACCUGAAUGGCUGGGUCUUGCCAUAACCUUUUUACAUCGAGUACAAGUUCUUUGUUCAGCAGUGGAUAAUCCAACCUGCCAUCAAUAUCUGAUAGUUUUUCUCCAAUUUCGUGAUGAUAUGACAAAGUAAAUGACAUCUUAGAAACAAAAUUGGUUGGUAAGGUGUACAGUGUGAAACUGGUGAUAUUUGUCUUUCAAUGUCUAAGAAAAGUCAGUUUUCCUUAAAAGUUCCAAAGCAACGGAACAAGGUAAAUGCACAAAGGUAUAGUUUUUUUAACCUGGUUGAGAAAAAAAUUGAAUCUUAUAACACCCACAUUUGAUACCAAGUUAUUUUUAGCAUAUCAACAAUUGUCUGAAGCAAUCAAAUAAACAAGGAAGAAUAAAUGUUACAAAAUCUCAUUGUUCUUUUCUACUUUGUUCAGUACAUUGUACGGUUCAAUAGAUAUCUUUUUCAAGUUUUCAUUAUAGAAUGACCGUGUAAAACAUAAGACUACAAUAGAGCCGAGCACAGUCUACAAGGUCUUAACAGGUUAAAACAUAGAGCCGAGCAGCUUGACUACAACAGAAAUGUUGCAAAUCAAAAUGUUUGUAUUCCCAGAUUUAACAAGACAUGUUCAUAUGCACAGAUUUAGCUUUAACUGUUGAGUAAAGAGUAAGCACAAACCUGGUUAUCUGGGGAUAUAACAUACUUUGAGGAAUCUGAUUCCACUUGUGAGAGUUCUUUUGCUCCUUCAUAUAGUAUCUGUUAACAUUUAACACAUUACUCGACAAAAAGGAAAAGUAUGAACGCAUUUCCUUAUGAACAGAAUACAAAUCCCUAGUCGAAUCUCCUACAUAAUCCCCACUUUGCAAUAAGAAAAAAAAGACACACCCUUUCCAGUAUUGCAUACUUUAAUUGUCUGAUAGACGUUUGCAUGGAUAACUGAUGUGUAGCUCCUAAGUUCUGCCUCAUCAAAGCCAGUUUGGAAAAGGAGCUUAAUCUGCAGGUGAACAGUAAGAAUACAUCAGACUAACUAGUGGCGUACGGAUUAUGAUUCUCCAUGGAAUAUAGCAUUCAUCACCUGUUUAAAUAUCGUAGACUUCCCUGAUUCUCCCGCACCUUAAAACAGAAGCAAUUGAGAGAGAGAAAGAAGGAUGGAUCCAAAUUGAGAACAAGUUAAAACUAAAAAUUUCUAGGAUACAUUUAUUUAUCUUCUUUUUUUUUUGGAAAUAACAUGAGAAAGGUUUUUUUUAUAGAGGUAAAUAGGAACAACAGAAACAAUUAAUUUCUGAACCAAUAGAUACUAAAGGUAGCGCAGAUAAUUGUGACAAGGAAAAUGACCACUAAAAUUUGGGAAAGUUAGCAAUACCAAGAAGUAAGAGCUUGUGGAUGUGUUGCUCUGCUUUUGUCUCUUGCAAAAUUCACCUGUCAAUGUCUGCAGACUGUUACCAGCUGAAUUAGAAGAAAUCAAAUGUGGCAACUCUCAAAUCAAGAAUUGAGUUAGCAUUUACUUGUUCAGUAAGCCUGAGUGCCAACUUACUUUUGCAUUUUCGGCUGUUUCAGCCUCACUUAAAGAAUGAGAUCUGCUACAGGAUGAGCCUAUGUUAUCAAGCACAUAGGUAAGCACGGACAUUAUUUUAGAGGUAUGCUCUCAUGCCUGAGCCUCUCUCUUUCCAGGAAGCACGUUGACGUCUAGAUCUCAGGGUCCAUGAGCUGCACACAUGAGCAGUAAGCUCGAGCGCAAUGUGGCCAGCAUUUGAAAAGAAAAGAUUGUACAGAGUAAUGGUUUGCAUAGUUCAAUAUUGCUGACCCACAUUGUUAAGCAUGGAUACAUAUCCAGAAACAUUAUAUCAAGGAAAAACAUUAGUAACCAUUUCUGACCAGUGAAAUACAGGAUUCAUUUGCCCCUUUUUUUUUCUCCUAAAAUUCACAAGUUUUGAUUAUGCGGAAUAAUUAUAAGCAUACAUGCCUAUUUCAAAUUAGCAAACAAUUGUACGUCAGGGGCGGAUCCAACUUGGGACAUUGGGGUUCAGUUAAACCCCCAAACUUUUGGGGGGGAACAAACAAACUGCUACUCGCAUUAAGGUUAAGACUCUGAAAUUAAGAGAGGAGCUUCUUCCAGAUCUAGAGGAGGAAGCUAGGGUUAACGCAAGCACAGAUUCAAGACAAAAAUAGGUCGGGAGAGAGAUGAAUCAGAAUGAGGAUGUAGAUGCACACCAGGAUCCCUUCCCCUCCCCUACCCUGCUCGCCAGAUGGAGCUCGGCGCCCGCGCCCCUCCCCUGUUCAAGCUGCGAAAUGGCGCAAGGAGCGGAGGAGACUGAGACAGGAGAUUUUCUUUUAGGAGAAGGGAAGGGGAGGGAGGACACUUAGCAGUCCAACUUCUCUCAAAUUUCCUAUGUUACCCAUUCUUUAUGAUGAUGGAUGAUCCACAUGUCAGCGGUACUUAAAAAUUUAUAAUAAACUCGAUUACAUAUUAUGUUGAUAGUAAAUUUUUUAGACCACCGGCAACUAUUAGUUAUUGCUCCAUGCACUGCCAUCACCGUUCUUUCUCCAUAAGCCACUAUCGUUCCUCUUCUCUGCCUUCGCAUGUGUAGCCGCACCCUUUAGGCAUCAACAUGUCUUUUCUCCUCCGCUAUCAUCAUGCACGGUAUUGUAAUGGUUGUCGUUGGGACCAGAGGUGACACACUUGCUGAGACUCGAGAGGCAGGAACCAACCCGACAGAGAGCAGAGACACUAGAUUUGGGCUCCCUUUUUUAUCGGAGCAACAAGGAGAGAGAGUUAGUGUGUGGAGUUGUCGUAGAGCCACUGGACUUGGAGAUAGAGCUGUGGUGGAGUGACUGGAGUCACCAGACUUGGAGAUGGAUAUAAUGGAGUGGUCCAAAUUGAAAAUUGAAAUGUAAAUUUAGCUCUUGUGUAAAUGAAAAGAAUGGUUAAAGAUUACAUAGAACAAACUGUAAUCUAAUUGUUUUCCUCUAGCACAAUUAAAAGAUGAGUUGUCCAUUAGAUGAUAGUCUCGUGCUAUGCUAAGCCCACUACAGUUUUAUCAUUGUCUCUGCACUUUUAUGGUUGGGUCGAUCUACUUAGCCAUUACUAAUAAUAUCAUGAUAUGUUGACGCAUGACGAUACAGACUUCUACUAACACAGGUUAAUUGUUAAUUAAUUAUGGUUAGAUAUAUUCAACUCAAAAAAGAUAAAAAUAUAAUACCAUGAAUUUUGCUCAAUAAUAAAGGAUUCCAUUAUGGUCUCUUUCUCUCACUACAUGAUAUAUGAUGACUAUCUAUUAGUAUAUAUAUAUAACUAUGUUGGUAUUUCCCCUAAAUCUUUCAUAUUGUUUUUCAAUUUUUUAAUAUAUUAUUUGGACUAAUAUUUUACAUAUAUUGGGGACAAAGUCAAUGGCACAUAAUGGAUUUUCUCAAAAAAGAAACUAAAACAUUUCUUACCUAAACAUGUUAGGAGAACUUCAAUAGAAGGUAAGAAAAAGGAAAAGUUAAUCACUAGCUCAAACACACGAGAGAAAACGUUGUCCACAUCUAUGGUAUGGGUUAUACUCAUAUUAAUCGAUAAUAUACUAAUAUUAUUAAAUUUGUUCUUUGUCGUAAUACGGUGUGAAACUAAAACUUUAACAUUAUAUUCUUCCUUUGUUCCAUCUUCUUGUUUUCUCGUCCUUCAUUAUUUUCGAUAAUAAUAUUGCUAAAAUCAGCACUAUUACUUGCACAUGAAUACUAGUAGCUAGCUCAUGUGUGUCCUCCGUAAUAUAUAUUAUCUUUGUUUUUACAUGAGUAAAUAAUUAUUAUUAUUUUUGUUGUAUUUAUAUAAGGUACUCAGUAUCGUGGAAAACGGUCGUACCGAUCGAUUAAUUGGCCGUAUAUACGUUAACGGUAGUAUAACAGUUCGUUAACGUGAUACGGUGUACAUUUAUCGUUCAUGAAUGUUAAAACUUUGUUUUUAACGAUUAGUUGGUCCUUUUCCAUUUAAUCAUCCAAAUAAUCGUUUGUAUAUUGUAUUUGAUGAUAAUUUAGCGUAGUUUUUUUACUUAAUUUAGAUUUUUUUUGUUUUGUAACAUAUAUUUUUAUGUUUUACUUAUUUAAUGCAACCAAUUCUACCACCAUGUGAUAUAUAAAUCUUGUGUUAAAAGAGUUAAUAUUUUACUUAUCUAUUUAAUUAAAAAAACAACAUGAACAUAUUUGAUUUAUAUAGUUGUACACAUCUAAAUCGUAUAUAAUGUUAUAAAAUUUGUACAUAUAUUCAUGAAUGUUAAAUUUCCGUAUAAUUCCAAUUAAUUGUCCGUAUUCCGAUUAAUCGGUGAACGCUACCUUUUCCGUCCGACAACCAUAUUCCGUCUUACACAACACUGAAGUUACUUGACUAGUUUUAAGAACUAAAAAAGAUAUUUUUUGCUAAACAUAAUCUAGAAUGCUAUAGAUUAAUAAUAUUGAACAAUAUAUAGUCAUAUAAAUAUAUAUAGUUUUAUGGAUAAAUUAGAUAUUGACACUUGUUAUGAAUCCAAUGAUUAUAGUGCAUUAUAUAUAAAUUGUUCAAGUGAGUUGUGACUUUCACUAUUUAGUAGUUACGUGCCUAUGCAUUCAAUGGAAUCUAGAGAUAAAAAUAUGAUUUAUUUUGUUUCUAGUCCGAUUUUUUAUGAAGUGUUGAAUUUUUUACGUUUCUUUAUAUAAUAAUGAGAUAAUUUAUUAUUUAUAAAUAGAUUAUUUUAUCGAACUCCCAUUUAUAAAAUCGUGCGCCAGUUCAUUUUGGAGGUGAACCAGGGUCGAAGAUGCUAAGAAUCAGGGUUAAUUGGAUACAUGACAUUACAAAUUUCAUGGUUUUGAAACGACUAUUCAACUAUUUGGUGUCAUACCAUUACAAUUUAGCAUGUAUUUGAAACAUGCCACUACUCAUCCCUUCACUACACUAAAAAUAUUUUUUUGAACUAAAUUACCAUUUUUCUUCACGGUAGUGGUUGUCGCCAAAGCACUGCUGCUUCUAGUGUUGGUGGGCAUUUGGUUGCCUCUUGUUUGGUUCGCUCACUUGCUUGAUUAUGCCUAAUAGCCGUUGUAAUGAUGGUGGUCACUAGCAUGAGUCUGUUCUAUUUUGGAGAAUUUUUUUUGUUGGGGAAUGGUUUUGGUUUGAUUUCUUGGUGGGAUCAGGGAAUCGUUCCAUUUCAGUUGCUGCUGCUGGUUGGGGCUCCAAUGAAUCCAUUCCUGUGGUGAUGGCUUGCUGUUGGGUAGAGGAGAGGGGAGCUCAACCCACGCAGUGUGCAGGUGUUGUGAGGAGAAGGACCAAGCUGACCUCGCGCCGUGCCGCCAUCCAUCCCUCCAACGAAUGUUAGCCAACGACCGGCAAGAGCAUGCUCGCAUUCGAUUCACAUUAUCACUUAUCACAUAUGCAUAAGCUCUGUCAGAUCUAAUGGGGAGAAAAUGAACAGGAAAGAGGGAUGGAGAAAGAAGAUAAGGACAAUUUGGUCUAAAAAUCUUAAAAAAUACAAUGGGUAUGUAAUGGUAUAAAUCAAAUAACUAUUAAAUUGUAAUGGCAUAAGUCUAAAUAGUUGAAUAUUAUUGGUAUAUUUCCAAAUCACAAAAAUUAUAAUAGCAUAAUCCAAUUAACCUGAAGGUUAGGUUAAUAAGAGGUAGACUGGUUCCUGAUUUGUGGCGCUAGUACCACACCUACCAAAAAUAUAUUGUUAUACCAUUCAAACUAUUCUGCCUUAUUCCUUUAGUUGCCACUUUGAUAUCUUUCAAACCAAAUUUUCAUACACUUCUUUUAAAUAACCAAAUUUUCAGACACUCCUUUCAUACCAUUCAAACUAUUCUGCCUUAUUCCUCUCUCACGCCGCCGCGCCUCCUUCUCCUCUCCCACGCCGCCGCGCCUCCUUGCCUCCCACGCCGCCGCGCCACCUCCUUCUCAUCUUCUCCCAAGCAGCAGUCGGCGGCGUGAUCUUUCGGAGUUGCGGCGGUCGUCAGCGGCAACUUCAGUGGUCUUUCGGAGGCUCAUCAGCACCUCCUCUCCCUUGAUCUUGGCGGCGGCUCGCCGGUGCCCGGGCGGCCGCCGGUUCUUGGCUCGUCCGGAUCCGAGUUGUGCUGGCGGUCAUCGGCGCGGGGCCGCGGAUUCGCCGCUGGAUUUGGGGGUCGUGGCAGCGGAUGUGGUGGCCGCGGGGAGGGGGGCGGGAGCGGACGGCGCGACGCCGACGGGAAGCCCCGGCGAGGAGGAAACGGGCGCGCGGCGGCGAGAUUAUUGAUUGUUUUUUUUGUGCAUGUGGGAUGUGUUGUUCAUUGGUUAAUAUGAGAUCUGGGCCCUGGAUUUCUCUUGUGUUCUUGGGACGGAUCGAGAUUUCUUUGUUUCUUUUGCUUCUUGGUGAUUCCUCUUGUGUUCUUGGGAUAGAUCAAGUUCUUUUUUCUGCGUUCUUGCUUGGGGUGUUUCGGUGGCGGGAAGAAUCGUGGGCGAAUCAGGGUUUUCUCCACUCGAUGCGGCGCGAGGGCACGGCGCGGCCAAGAACCGCACCCCACAGCGUGCGCGCCUCGCGUCUUCCUCUCCUUAUCGCGCCCUCGUUUUGGCAAGGUUUCGCGCGGCUCUGCUUGGGGGCGAGGAGCUCUGCUAGGGUGCGAUUCCUUAUGCCACGUAUGCUUCAAUCCGAGCUGGCACCGUGUAGCACCGGUCCAGCUCACCGCACUGUGAGAGGCCUUAUCUCUUCAUGCACUCCAGCCAGCCUCAUCUCCCUCAUCCAUCAUCUAUCAUUCUCAUCCACUUGUUCCACUCAACACACUCUCUCUCUCUCUCUCUCUCUCUUCCCCAAGCAUAUGCUGCAAGCUCCAAGGAGAGUGAGGUCCGGCACUAAGACAACAUGCAAUGGCAGCGUGGUGGCCAGCAUUGAGGAAGACGUUGUGUGAGGCAGCAGCAUGAGGCGACCUUCGUGUCAAGCUGAUGGACCAGAUGGUGGCGACCCUUUUCAUCUUGCACUCAAGGAGGUCUGUGUAGACGCUGGCGCCUCACCGUCGGGAGUGUGCAGGAGAUGAGUACGAGAAUGGGUGUGUUGAGAUUUUUUUUUUAUGUUUUAGCUGGUUUAUUUUUUGUUUCUUUGCGUUGGAUUUGACAUGUUGCAGUAGGAUUAUAGAUAGUGUUUCAUAACUUGGUCCUUAAUGCAUACAGAUAUGUUGAUGUUUCAGCAAUUGAAUUUCGAUGUUUCAUCAAUGUGAACAAAAUUGAUUCGAAU
rnacentral:lncRNA from 1 species